rnacentral:rRNA from 1 species
AGAGUUUGAUCCUGGCUCAGGAUGAACGCUGGCGGUCUGCUUAACACAUGCAAGUCGAACGGAGUAGAAAUACUUAGUGGCGGACGGGUGAGUAACGCGUGAGAAUCUGCCUUCAGGACGGAGACAACAGUUGGAAACGACUGCUAAGCCCCGAUGUACCGAAAGGGAAAAUAUUUAUAGCCUGAAGAUGGGCUCGCGUCCGAUUAGCUAGUUGGCGGAGUAAAAGCCCACCAAGGCGACGAUCGGUAGCUGGUCUGAGAGGACGAUCAGCCACACUGGGACUGAGACACGGCCCAGACUCCUACGGGAGGCAGCAGUGGGGAAUCUUCCGCAAUGGGCGCAAGCCUGACGGAGCAACGCCGCGUGGAGGACGACGGCCUUCGGGUUGUAAACUCCUUUUCUGGGGGAUGACAUGGACAGUACCCCAGGAAUCAGCCCCGGCUAACUCUGUGCCAGCAGCCGCGGUAAGACAGAGGGGGCAAGCGUUGUCCGGAUUAACUGGGCGUACAGCGCGCGCAGGUGGGUCGGUUAGUCACCUGUGACAUUGUUCGGCUCAACCGAACAGGGUCAGGUGAGACUGCCAGCCUGGAGGGAUGGAGAGGGACGUGGAAUACCCGGUGGAGCGGUGAAAUGCGUAGAGAUCGGGUGGAACACCAGCGGUGAAGACGGCGUCCUGGCCAUUACCUGACACUGAGGCGCGACAGCGUGGGGAGCAAACGGGAUUAGAUACCCCAGUAGUCC